GGGUAGUUUGACUGGGGCGGUCUCCUCCCAAAGAGUAACGGAGGAGCACGAAGGUGGGCUAAUCACGGUUGGACAUCGUGAGGUUAGUGCAAUGGCAUAAGCCCGCUUAACUGCGAGAAUGACGGUUCGAGCAGGUGCGAAAGCAGGUCAUAGUGAUCCGGUGGUUCUGUAUGGAAGGGCCAUCGCUCAACGGAUAAAAGGUACUCCGGGGAUAACAGGCUGAUACCGCCCAAGAGUUCAUAUCGACGGCGGUGUUUGGCACCUCGAUGUCGGCUCAUCACAUCCUGGGGCUGAAGUCGGUCCCAAGGGUAUGGCUGUUCGCCAUUUAAAGUGGUACGCGAGCUGGGUUUAGAACGUCGUGAGACAGUUCGGUCCCUAUCUGCCGUGGGCGUUGGAAGAUUGAAGGGGGCUGCUCCUAGUACGAGAGGACCGGAGUGGACGAACCUCUGGUGUUCGGGUUGUGUCGCCAGACGCAUUGCCCGGUAGCUAAGUUCGGAAUUGAUAAGCGCUGAAAGCAUCUAAGCGCGAAGCGAGCCCUGAGAUGAGUCUUCCCUGACAGUUUAACUGUCCUAAAGGGUUGUUCGAGACUAGAACGUUGAUAGGCAGGGUGU
rnacentral:rRNA from 1 species